ACAGCAGUCGCCGCGGUAACACGGAGGGAGCUAGCGUUGUUCGGAAUUACUGGGCGUAAAGCGCACGUAGGCGGCUUUGUAAGUUAGAGGUGAAAGCCUGGAGCUCAACUCCAGAAUUGCCUUUAAGACUGCAUCGCUUGAAUCCGGGAGAGGUGAGUGGAAUUCCGAGUGUAGAGGUGAAAUUCGUAGAUAUUCGGAAGAACACCAGUGGCGAAGGCGGCUCACUGGACCGGCAUUGACGCUGAGGUGCGAAAGCGUGGGGAGCAAACAGGAUUAGAUACCCCUGUAGUCCCUGUCUCUUAUAC
rnacentral:rRNA from 1 species